UCUUCAGGCAGUUGUUGUGUCUCUCAGCACUUGUUGGGUUCACAACCUAUUAAAUAAGCCGGCUGGUCUUCACCCUCCCAGACAAGUCAACUCAGGGGAGGCAGCAGGGUGCGGGCCUUGGCCAGGGCCAGGGCCAGGGCCAGGGCCAGGGCUGGUGCCCGGGGCCGCGCUGUGAGGUGGGCAGGCGAGGAGCGGGAAGACCAUCUCUGCAAGUGCAGCAUAGCCUCGGCCUAGGACAGCGGGAGUGCGUGGCCAAAGCUGUGAGCAGAGGCACAGGUGGUGGCAGACAGUAGAGGCACCCCAUGGGGAACAUACUGACCUGUCGUGUGCACCCUAGCGUCAGCCUCGAGUUUGACCAGCAACAGGGGUCGGUGUGUCCCUCUGAAUCUGAGAUCUAUGAGGCAGUAGCUGGGGACAGGAUGGCAGGAGCGCCCAUGGCUGCUGCUGUGCAGCCUGCUGAGGUGACUGUUGAAGUUGGUGAGGACCUCCACAUGCACCACGUUCGUGACCGGGAGAUGCCUGAAGCUUUGGAGUUUAACCUUUCUGCCAAUCCAGAGGCAAGCACAAUAUUCCAGAGGAACUCUCAAACAGAUGCUUUGGAGUUUAACCCUUCUGCCAAUCCAGAGGCAAGCACAAUAUUCCAGAGGAACUCUCAAACAGAUGUUGUAGAAAUAAGAAGAAGCAACUGUACAAACCAUGUAUCUACUGUGCGUUUCAGUCAACAAUACAGCUUGUGUUCGACAAUAUUCCUUGAUGACAGCACAGCCAUCAGCAUUAUCUUACAAUGACAAUAAUAUCUGUGACCUUGGAGAUACCUCAUCAUAUCACACAAAGAGAUGCAGAUAGAUCUUUGAGCAUACCUGAUGAACAGUUACACUCAUUUGCGGUUUCCACCGUGCACAUUACGAAGAACAGAAAUGGAGGUGGGAGUUUAAAUAACUAUUCCUCCUCCAUUCCAUCGACUCCCAGCACCAGCCAGGAGGACCCUCAGUUCAGUGUUCCUCCCACUGCCAACACACCCACCCCCGUUUGCAAGCGGUCCAUGCGCUGGUCCAACCUGUUUACAUCUGAGAAAGGGAGUGACCCAGACAAAGAGAGGAAAGCCCCGGAGAAUCAUGCUGACACCAUCGGGAGCGGCAGAGCCAUCCCCAUUAAACAGGGCAUGCUCUUAAAGCGAAGUGGGAAAUGGCUGAAGACAUGGAAAAAGAAAUACGUCACCCUGUGUUCCAAUGGCGUGCUCACCUAUUAUUCAAGCUUAGGUGAUUAUAUGAAGAAUAUUCAUAAAAAAGAGAUUGACCUUCAGACAUCUACCAUCAAAGUCCCAGGAAAGUGGCCAUCCCUAGCCACAUCGGCCUGCGCACCCAUCUCCAGCUCUAAAAGCAAUGACCUAUCCAAGGACAUGGACACCGGGCUGGGUGACUCCAUAUGCUUCAGCCCCAGUAUCUCCAGCACCACCGGCCCCAAGCUCAACCCGCCCCCCUCUCCUCAUGCCAAUAAAAAGAAACACCUAAA